GGGUGUCGGCUUAAGUGCCAUAACGAGCGCAACCCCUUUCGUCAGUUGCCAUCGGGUAAUGCCGGGCACUCUGGCGACACUGCCGCCGCAAGGUGUGAGGAAGGUGGGGAUGACGUCAAAUCAGCACGGCCCUUACGUCCGAGGGCUACACACGUGUUACAAUGGCGCGUACAGCGAGCA
rnacentral:rRNA from 1 species